rnacentral:rRNA from 1 species
AGUGAACGCUGGCGGUAGGCCUAACACAUGCAAGUCGAACGGCAGCACAGUAAGAGCUUGCUCUUACGGGUGGCGAGUGGCGGACGGGUGAGGAAUACAUCGGAAUCUACUUUUCGUGGGGGAUAACGUAGGGAAACUUACGCUAAUACCGCAUACGACCUACGGGUGAAAGCAGGGGAUCUUCGGACCUUGCGCGAUUGAAUGAGCCGAUGUCGGAUUAGCUAGUUGGCGGGGUAAAGGCCCACCAAGGCGACGAUCCGUAGCUGGUCUGAGAGGAUGAUCAGCCACACUGGAACUGAGACACGGUCCAGACUCCUACGGGAGGCAGCAGUGGGGAAUAUUGGACAAUGGGCGCAAGCCUGAUCCAGCCAUACCGCGUGGGUGAAGAAGGCCUUCGGGUUGUAAAGCCCCUUUGUUGGGAAAGAAAAGCAGCAGGUUAAUACCCCGCUGUUCUGACGGUACCCAAAGAAUAAGCACCGGCUAACUUCGUG